UACGGAGGGUGCAAGCGUUAUCCGGAUUUACUGGGUUAAAGGGUGUGUAGGCGGACUUUUAAGUCAGGGGUGAAAUCCCGAGGCUCAACCUCGGAACUGCCUUUGAUACUAUUGGUCUUGAAUGUUGUUGAGGUGGGCGGAACGGGUCAUGUAGCGGUGAAAUGCAUAGAUAUGACCCGGAACACCGAUUGCGAAGGCAGCCCGCUAAGCAACUAUUGACGCUGAGGCACGAAAGCGUGGGGAUCAAACAGG
rnacentral:rRNA from 1 species